GGAGAGGUGCAGGAGUGGUUUAUCUGGCAGCACUGGAAAUGCUGUGUACGGCAAAACCGUACCGUGGGUUCGAAUCCCACCCUCUCCG
rnacentral:tRNA from 1 species